rnacentral:tRNA from 1 species
GCCUUCGUGGUGUAGUGGUCAGCAUGCUCGACGCGUAUUCGAGAGGUCCGUGGUUCGAAUCCCGGCGAGGGCA